ensembl:lncRNA
CUGGAAAUUACCUACGGCAGCUGAGUCACCCACCUUCCCGCCGAAGCCCGCUGGCUGUUUCCAAGGCCUUCCUCAUCAUUCAAACCACGAUGCGGCCACAGGAAUACCAAAAGCAACGCUUGAUGGCUGUGGAAGAUUUUCAUCCUCACAGGUCGUGAAUGCCUUCUGUUUAUCACCUGCACUAAGGAUUUACGACUGUCUCAGUGUUGUAUUUCUAGCAGCUGUACUCUGAAGGAAAGCAUCCUGCCCUGAGGGGCCAAGAGAACAGGCCACUCAGCAACAUGAGAAAAAACAAUAGAGAGAGAUUAUCUUUAAAACUGAUGAAUCAGCAAAGAGGCUUCAUGACCAAAGGAGAGAAGUAAUGAGCUGAGGACCUACUAUGUGCUGGUUGCUAUUGUGUCUUUUCCCCUUCCUAUCUUUCUCCAUUCCCCUAAAUAUCUUACGACAUGGGCAUUAUAUCCCUAUUUAAUUGAUGGAAAUUGAAGCCUGAGACGGGAUGUGAGACUGAGAACCUUGGACCAAUAGUAAGAGACCUUGCAGGGACUCAAACACAGCCUCUGGCUCCAGAGUGAUGGACCUCCCACCAUGGGAGCGGAGCAUCCCCACAUCAACGCCCUAGAUGCAGACUAUUUUUCAGAGCAGAUUUCACUUCACAACAAAACUGAGCAGAAAAUACAGAGUUCUCAUCCAUGCUCUCUGUCCCUACACCUGAAGCUUCCCUGCUGUCAACGCUCUGCAGUUCCAUGGGACAUUUAUUACAGUUGAGGAACCUAAGAUGGCAUAUUGCUAUCACUCACAGUGCACAUCCCUUUACCUCUUAAUGUGGCUGCACCACAUUUUAAAUACCAGUUGGGGCAUAUUCCCUCAAGGGAACGCUGCUUUUCACUGUACCUGGUGGCAAGUCCAAAACAAAGACCCUUAAAUACAUUGGGUGAUAAAUGCAUACUUAAACCAAAUAGACCGACCCAGACUUUGAGAUCUUAACCCAAUUAAACUGUGGUGUUGGAGAAGACUCUUGAGAGUCCCUUGGACUGCAAGGAGAUCCAACCAGUCCAUUCUGAAG